ACGUGAUCNCCNCNUUUAUUUUGUCCCGGCGUUCGGAUGGCAUUAGUUUGCCGUUCGAUCAGUUGGGGCGUGUUUACUUUGAGAAAAUUAGAGUGUUCAAAACAGUCGUACGAUUGUAUAUCAUAGCAUGGAAUAAUAACUGAUGACUUCGGUCCUCUUUUGUUGGAUUCAGCUGGCUGAAGUAAUGAUUGAUAGGGUUAGUCGGAGGUAUUAGUAUUCUGUCGUUAGAGGUGAAAUUCAUGGAUCGGCAGAAGACUGACAACUGCGAAAGCAUUUAUCUAGGAUUUGCUCUUUGAUCAAGAACGAAAGUUGGGGGAUCGAAGACGAUCAGAUACCGUCGUAGUCUCAACUAUAAACUAUACCAGCUAGGGAUUGGCGAGCGUUUGACUUGACCUUGUCAGAACCUUAUGAGAAAUCAAAGCAUUUGGGUUCCGGGGGGAGUAUGGUCGCAAGGCUGAAACUUAAAGGAAUUGACGGAAGGGCACCACAAGUUGUGGAUCCUGUGGCUUAAUUUGACUCAACACGGGAAAACUUACCAGGUCCAGACAUAG
rnacentral:rRNA from 1 species